rnacentral:rRNA from 1 species
AUUGAACGCUGGCGGCAUGCCUUACACAUGCAAGUCGAACGGCAGCACGGGAGCAAUCCUGGUGGCGAGUGGCGAACGGGUGAGUAAAGUAUCGAAACGUGCCCAGUCGUGGGGGAUAACGUAGCGAAAGUUACGCUAAUACCGCAUACGAUCUAUGGAUGAAAGCGGGGGAUCGCAAGACCUCGCGCGAUUGGAGCGGCCGAUAUCAGAUUAGGUAGUUGGUGGGGUAAAGGCUCACCAAGCCGACGAUCUGUAGCUGGUCUGAGAGGACGACCAGCCACACUGGGACUGAGACACGGCCCAGACUCCUACGGGAGGCAGCAGUGGGGAAUUUUGGACAAUGGGCGAAAGCCUGAUCCAGCCAUGCCGCGUGCAGGAUGAAGGCCUUCGGGUUGUAAACUGCUUUUGUACGGAACGAAAAGGUUUGGGCUAAUAAGCUGAGCUCAUGACGGUACCGUAAGAAUAAGCACCGGCUAACUACGUGCCAGCAGCAGCCGCAG